rnacentral:lncRNA from 1 species
AUUUAGAAUGUGUGUCCAUAUUUUCUUCCUGUGCAGAAAUGAACAAGGAGAAUCUGACAUACCUACCUGCUAUUAUUUAGAGGACGGGUGCUGGCGUCCUUGAUGAUUUUAAAGCAAAUCACCUUGCUGUGUACUGUUUCAUUUCAGAGUCUUUCUGCUUGCAUUUCACAGCAGCAGUCCUCGCGACUGUGCAACCUGGACUGGUGCCUUGGAACGGAACUUGCAAGAAUGAGUCAAGAUUCCCGAUUAUUUGAAUGCUUUUCUAGGUUCCUUUCACAUUCAAUUUCUUGUGAUUGAAGUAAGAAUGCACAAGCAAUCAUGCCUUUCUUUCUCAACCAUAUCUUUUCCUACCCUUAAAAGUUUCAAGCCAUUUACCUUUUUCAUACUAUUCUAGAGUUCUUU